rnacentral:rRNA from 1 species
UUGUCCUUAGUUACCAGCUACGUUAUGGUAGGGCACUCUAAGGAGACUGCCGGUGACAACCGGAGGAAGGUGGGGAGUGACGUCAAGUCAUCAUGGCCCUUACGGCCUGGGCUACACACGUGCUACAAUGGUCGGUACAAAGGGUUGCCAAGCCGCGAGGGUGGAGCUAAUCCCAUAAAACCGAUCGUAGUCCGGAUCGCAGUCUGCAACUCGACUGCGUGAAGUCGGAAUCGCUAGUAAUCGUGAAUCAGAAUGUCACGGUGAAUACGUUCCCGGGCCUU